AACCAAUCGGAGCACGAGGCCAGCCCAGAAAGAACCAAUAACAUCCCUCUUGGCUUCUUUUUUGAUUGCCAAAGAGGUGCAAUUUAGUGGUGCGAGUCCAGCUGAUUCGUUUCGUUUCAUUCAGCUUGUCUUACUUGCCUUCAAUGCGAUUUACUCCCAGACACCAUAAUGGCAAUUCUAUGUGACUAUGAAGAAAGUCCUUCAGUGAGCUACAGUCAGUGAUAUCAUCAGUAUCCUCUAAGACAGCUUCCUCUCAGUCAGAUGUUGAAGUACAAUGCUUGUAAAAGAACCACAGAUUAAGGUUUUGCUUUACUUGAUACUUGCUUCAACAAGUAUGUAACACACAUUAUUUCGCCAUCCCUGUUGUUUGUUGUUACUUGGUGUCUCAGGGCCAAGUUUGACUUCUUGUGACUAUGUGGAUAAAUGUAACUGUUAUUCAUCUGUUUUUCAGUAAUAUCAUGUGCCUCUUCUAAGAACAUUUGAGUAGCCUUUGGCAUCUGAGCCAGCAGACUGGCCUAACAACGCUGC
rnacentral:lncRNA from 1 species